AAAAACAUUCAGCUCAGGUUGGGGAGAAAGGACAGGUCGCCCGCACCCCCUCUGCUCCCAGGAGUGGCAUGGAGGAGGAGGAUGAUGCAGCUGUGUCUGCUGGUAUGCAGGCACAGCUGGGGCUUCCAUCCUCGAGGGAAUAGUGGGAAUUCCGCUUUUUUGGACUAACAUUCCAGGUCCUCUUUCUAGCUGACAUCCUUUCAGGUUAGGGUGAGGAGUAAAAAGGAUCUUAGCAGAUACUGGAUUAAGUUCCUCACCUUUAGACCUUACUUAGGUUUCUUAAUUUUAUGUCGGCUCAUUGUUUUUAGGGGUUUUUUCCUGGAAAAUUGCAAAAUUUGGUGAAAUGCAUUCUCAUCUGCAUACUAGCUCUGAUGUCACGCCCCCCACCCUGCUACCUGCAGGCUCUGGGGAAGCAGCAGGGGGACAAUUGCGCUUGAUUUCUAACCAUUAACAGGUAAUUGAAGAAAAACUAUUAACAAGAGGUGAUUGCAACAUGAAGCUAUCAACAACAAAUAGUCAACAUUUCAACUCACAACAACUGGCCCAACCUGUUUAACUUUGCAGCCUUAAAAAAAAUGGAUAAUUUGUUGGGGCGAACACCCCAGGUGUGGAGACACGAGACUUGACUCCAUUUCAGAAGGCUGAUUUAUUAUAUAUUCUAUUAAAAUACUACAUUAAAACUAUACUAAAAGAACAGAGAGGAAAAUGUGGGAACUCAGUACAUCACUCCGGAUGUCCAGAGCUACCGAGACAACCCUUGGGGGGCUCGGAGGCCCUGGAAUGUUGCCAAAAGUACCUGGUGGCUUGACUUUGAUCCUUUUAAAGAAAUGACACCUGAAGGUGAGGAGAUGAGAGAAUUUCAGGUCUGAAUGGUGAGGGGAUGUUAUUCACUUGUUAGAACUUAGAAUGCACUGUACAGGGGGGUUUUAUGUGUUGUACAGGGGGGUCUAGAAUUCUGUGCAUGGAUCAGGAGUCCCAAGAUGGAGGAAUUUGGGCGUGCCCUGUCCUCCUUCUUUCUUCUCCUUGGCAUCCAUGUUCAGGAUGAUGUUGGCACGUGUGGAUUGGUUCAUAGAGAAAGUACACUUGCCAACAAGGGCAGAAAGUAUUGGGAAUUAAAGGUAAAUAUCUAAUACGUAGUUUUCACUAUAAAAGAGACAACCGCCUCCUGGGCGGGAGAGAGUGCCUUUGGCUGUCUUGUUGAUCAGACCUCGGCUGGACAGACAGAAAAUCUUUGUAGAUAGGAAAUAAUAAACUCAACUGAAGACCUAAAAGCAAGAGUCCAGACUCCUUCUUCGAGAGCGCGGCCUACCCAGAACCACUUUUUCCCAUGCUGGGGCAGAGACAAGUAACAGCCGACCCCGGCCCUUGCUGGUGGUGUAAAAGCUGUGAUGUGAAUGUGCAGGACCUUCCCUUUUGGGAAAGUCUUUGAUGGAGCUCCUGAAUGGGAAUGUCUUUCUCCCAAAGCAUUUUAGCUCCAGACUUGAAGUAGGACUUGCUAAGUGCUAAGACGAGAAAGGAGGAAUGAGAUAGAGCCUGUAUUUACCUACAGUACUUGCUGGUUUGAAUGCUCUUUACAGUUAAGAAAGAUGUGUUUUCAACCUUGGCCAGUUCAGAAAUGCUGCCUUUUCAGAAUGGGAGCAAAAGCUGACCCUGCUCAUAGGUUCGUGAACAAAUUAUGUUGUUAUUGUUGCAGAAACGUCCUCUGUCUUCUGACUUGACCAGUCCUGUGGCGAGCAAGAAGAGGAGAAUUGGUCACCAGCCCAGUCAUGUCCAGGCAGCAGCUGGUGGCCACUUCCUUCUUUCUGCCUUCUACGUCCCUUUGCUUUUCGGACAUGCUUCCAGGUGUUGGCUCCAUUUCCCCCUGCACUCAUGUGGUGCAAAAACCAGAGAAAUUUCAGAGUUCCGUCAUCCCAGCGCCUGCCAGGGUGCAGAGGAGAUCCCCAAUUCAAACAGGAAGAAAAAUGAAUUGGGAAUACUGAAGCAGUUGCAUCCCUUGGAUUUCGAUGAAGGAACAAGAAAAGAGACUUCCAUUGCCUCCACAUGCUCUGCAACAAGCAACCAAGCAGACUACUUGAGAAAAUACGGAGCCAUUGUCUCCUUGGAGCAACGGCAGCACUACAAGGACAGCUUCAAUGCAGAUUAUGUGGGAUAUUGGAAUUUAUAUUUUAAGAUUGACAAGAUCAUCAAGAAAUUCAGACAUUUUCAGGAACAAUGGAAGUCUCUGACUCCAGGCUCCAAAGCCUAUCAGGUAAAGAAGGAUAAAACCAUGAAGACUGUGCUUCAUUACAGCAGUGUUUUGGAUUCCCUGGAGCUGCUCAGUGAGACAGAGGGAAACUGUGGAAUUGGCAUAUAUGCUCAGACACUGCUUGGGCUGGGUCUGAUUUUGGCAAGACCCUGCCCAAAAGCCCCUGUUUGAGCUGUCUAUGAAGAAACAGUUGUCUAUGAGAGGUGUCCCAAGCAGAGUCUUAGAGCAUGGACUCCUUCUGUUGCCUAUUGAGAGGCUUAAUUACAGAUCUUGGGUGAUGGAGAUUUGUUUUGCAAACUUCCCAGAAGAGUGGUGGCUCACAGAGAAGAAAAUCUCUAGAGUCAGACUGAGUGUACUUUCAGUGUUUUACCAAAGUUUGCAUUUUAUGGUGCCAGUGAAACAUUCUUCAUGGUUUGUUUUGCUU